rnacentral:tRNA from 1 species
GCCGAAGUGGUGAAAUUGGUAGACACGCUACCUUGAGGGGGUAGUGGGCAGAUGCCCGUGGAGGUUCGAGUCCUCUCUUCGGCACCA